rnacentral:rRNA from 1 species
GUCCACGCCCUAAACGAUGGCAACUGGGUGUUGGGGAAGCGAUUUCUCAGUACCGUAGCUAACGCGUGAAGUUGCCCGCCUGGGGAGUACGGCCGCAAGGUUAAAACUCAAAGGAAUUGACGGGGACCCGCACAAGCGGUGGAUGAUGUGGAUUAAUUCGAUGCAACGCGAACAACCUUACCUACCCUUGACAUGUCCGGAAGCCUGCUGAGAGGUGGGUGUGCCCGAAAGGGAAUCGGAACACAGGUGCUGCAUGGCUGUCGU